rnacentral:rRNA from 1 species
GACGAACGCUGGCGGCGUGCUUAACACAUGCAAGUCGAACGGAAAGGCCCUGCUUUUGUGGGGUGCUCGAGUGGCGAACGGGUGAGUAACACGUGAGUAACCUGCCCUUGACUUUGGGAUAACUUCAGGAAACUGGGGCUAAUACCGGAUAGGAGCUCCUGCUGCAGGGUGGGGGUUGGAAAGUUUCGGCGGUUGGGGCUGGACUCGCGGCUUAUCAGCUUGUUGGUGGGGUAGUGGCUUACCAAGGCUUUGACGGGUAGCCGGCCUGGGAGGGUGAGCGGCCACAGUGGGACUGAGACACGGCCCAGACUCCUACGGGAGGCAGCAGUGGGGAAUGGUGCACAAUGGGCGGAAGCCUGAUGCAGCAACGCCGCGUGCGGGAUGACGGCCUUCGGGUUGUAGACCGCUUUCGCCUGUGACGAAGCGGGAGUGACGGUAAUGGGUAAAGAAGCACCGGCCAACUACGUG